rnacentral:rRNA from 1 species
UACGUAGGGUGCAAGCGUUAAUCGGAAUUACUGGGCGUAAAGCGUGCGCAGGCGGUUUUGUAAGUCUGUCGUGAAAGCCCCGGGCUCAACCUGGGAAUUGCGAUGGAGACUGCAAGGCUUGAAUCUGGCAGAGGGGGGUAGAAUUCCACGUGUAGCAGUGAAAUGGCGUAGAGAUGUGGAGGAACACCGAUGGCGAAGGCAGCCCCCUGGGUCAAGAUUGACGCUCAUGCACGAAAGCGUGGGGAGCAAACAGG